rnacentral:lncRNA from 1 species
CCAGCAUGCCCGCUGGCUCGUGAGCUGGCCCUGGAAACUAGCGGCUGGCGCAAGUGGGCGUUCGGCGGCACUGCUGGCUGCCAGCUGCCAGCCCCACACCCCACAGGCCCCUGCCUGGCCAGCCCCGGUGCACUCCUGGGAUGUCCCCUGCAGGCCCAAGUGUCUCAGGCCCAGCCGCUGCCUCGGGGCUGUGUGCCGCUGGCAGGACACACAGCCUCCCGAGCUCAAAAAGCGGCUCUGCCCUUUCUUCUUAGGUUCAGGCUAAGGCCGGCUGUGCCGGAGGGGCACAACACCUGAGUGGAGAUGAGCAGCCCAGGGGCGCCCUGCUGGCCCGCACCCUGCCCAGACCACAUGAAGGCGAAGAGGUUGCUGAGUUUCCCUAGGAUCACCAGCUGUCAUGGACUGAUUUGUGUCUCUCCAAAUUCAUAUGUUGAAUACUUAACCUGCCAUGCGAUUGUGAUUGGAGAUAAUUCCUUUAGGGAAGCAAUGAAGGUUAAAUGAGGUCAUAGGUGGGAGCUUAAUCCAAUGGGACUGGGGUCCCUACAAGAAGAGGAAGACACCAGAGCUCUCUGUCUCCACACACAGAGAAAAGAGGCUGUAUGAGGACACAAGAGAAGGUAAUAGCUGUCUACAAACCAAGAAGAGAAGCCUCUCCAGAAAAUGAACCCUGCUGGAACUUGGUCUUGGACUUUCCAGCCUCCAGAACUGGGAGAAAAUAAAGUUCAAAAUAAAGUUCUGUUGUGUAA